GGGCCGGGAUGCCCUCUCACUUUAAGCGGUUAAGGACGACACGGUUUAAAUUCCCGUGCCCCCACGGGCAAGGCUUACAUACGUUGGACUGACAAUCCAGUGGUCGAGGGUUCGAAUCCCUCCCGGUCCC
rnacentral:tRNA from 1 species